CCUACGGGGGGCAGCAGUGGGGAAUAUUGGGCAAUGGGCGCAAGCCUGACCCAGCUAUGCCGCGUGUGGGAAGAAGGCCUUCGGGUUGUAAACCUCUUUUCUGAGGGACGAAGAAUGUGACGGUACUACAGGAAUACGCUACGGCUAACUACGUACCAGCAGCCGCGGUAAUACGUAGGGGGCAAGCGUUAUCCGGGUUUAUUGGGUGUAAAGGGCGUGUAGGCGGGAAAGCAAGUCAGAUGUGAAAGCUCAGGGCUCAACCUGGAGCAGGCAUAUGAGACUGUUAGUCUAGAGUGCGGGAGAGGCGAUCAGAAUUCCGUGUGUAGCAGUGAAAUGCGUAGAUAUACGGAGGAACACCAGUGGCGGAGGCAGAUUGCUGGACAGUAACUGACGCUGAGGCGCGAAAGCGUGGGGAGCAAACAGGAUUAGAUACCCUAGUAGUC
rnacentral:rRNA from 1 species